GUGUCAGCAGCCGCGGUAAUACGUAGGGGGCAAGCGUUGUCCGGAAUUAUUGGGCGUAAAGAGCGCGUAGGCGGUCCGAUAAGUCGGCUGUGAAAGUCAGGGGCUCAACCCUUGAAAGCCGGCCGAUACUGUCGGACUAGAGUCCGGAAGAGGCAAGUGGAAUUCCCGGUGUAGCGGUGAAAUGCGCAGAUAUCGGGAGGAACACCAAUGGCGAAGGCAGCUUGCUGGGACGGUACUGACGCUGAGGCGCGAAAGCGUGGGGAGCAAACAGGAUUAGAAACCCUCGUAGUCC
rnacentral:rRNA from 1 species